GAUGAACGCUGGCGGCGUGCCUAACACAUGCAAGUCGAACGCUGGAAAUCUAGCUUGCUAGAUUGAAGGAGUGGCGAACGGGUGAGUAAUACAUAAGCAACCUACCCACGAAGACUGGGAUAAUCUCUGGAAACGGGGACUAAUACCGGAUAGGUAAUCGGAAGGCAUCUUCUGUUUAUUAAAGUUUAAAAACACUGGUGGAUGGGCUUAUGGGGCAUUAGUUAGUUGGUGAGGUAACGGCCCACCAAGACGACGAUGCGUAGCCGGCCUGAGGGGGUGAACGGCAACAUGGGGACUGAGACACGGCCCAGACUCCUACGGGAGGCAGCAGUAGGGAAGUAUCGGCAAUGGGAGAAACCCUGACGGAGCAACGCCGCGUGAGUGAUGACGGCCUUAGGGUUGUAAAGCUCUGUUGUAAGGGAAGAACGGUAGAUAGAGAAUAUCUAAAUGACGGUACCUUACCAGAAAGCCACGGCUAACUACGUG
rnacentral:rRNA from 1 species